GCCCUCGGUGGCUCAGAUGGAUAGAGCGUCAGCCAUGGAAGCUGGAGAUCCCGGGUUCGAGUCCCGGUCGGGGCA
rnacentral:tRNA from 1 species